UAUAGCGUUUAUGCAUUGAAGACACCAAAAACAUAUGGCUACAUUCAAGCGCUGCAGACUGAGGUGGUGAAGUGUAGAUUGGAAACAGAUAAAGGCAUGCCAAGAACAUGGACACUGAGGCCAGAUGAUCCACGCAAGCUCGGUCGACUUCCGCCUGUACCUCCCCCAUCCGUUGAAGAACUUGUACAAACACAAGUGAAAAGGGGUCUCGGUCCAGAAUUCAACACCAAUCCUCCCUCUGUAUAAGGAUGUUGUCAGACCUACGAUGACGACCAACACAGAGCAGAAAGCCGUCUGCAGAUGCAGAAUCUACAUCAUAGCAGAUACUGACGACAUCCUGCUCCAUUCCUCCUCUCUGAUGAACAAGACUCGGAGUCCCACACUUGAUUCAGGACCUCAUCAGCCAACCCAGAGGAAGUAUUCCAGCCUUUUCCCUCCGACGACCAUGCUUUCACAUGUGGAGAUGAUUCUCAUCCCAGCAACUUCACACUAGACUGAUCUGCUCCAGUGACAGCAGAAGGUCAUGGCCAAGGUCUCCAAAAAGCAGACAUCUGAUGCUUAGGUCACAAAAUCUGCCCCCUCAACCCCAUUACUGCAUCUAAUAAUUAUUUCCAUAACUGUAAUGAACAAAGAAAAUGUGAAUGUGAAAAUGUGUAUUCAGUCAGUGGUGUUUGCCACAGAUAAAACAUCGUCAAGAAGGAUUGAAUAUCUGUUGUGCAAUCAAACUUUCACAUCCUUUGGUCUAUGGGGUGUUUGUUGUGUAUAUACUGUGUAUUGCUGCUGUUACAUCAGUUAUAUUUAUCUAUUUUUUGCAGUUAAAUUGUAAUAAACAUUUGUCUUGUU